CUCGCUUUAUCGCAGUCGGUAGGGCAACGGAAUGUAGUUCCAUAGGGCGUUGGUUCAAAUCCAACACGCGAGA